ACGCAAAUUCUCGCGCGUAAUUCGAGAAAUCAACAACCGUCACUGCAAAGUCAAGUGCCCACUCAACGAAUAUUGGUACAGCAGCCACCGAAGAAUAUCUAACAGAGAAGGCCCAUUCUAUGUUAUAAGAAGCAAAUAAGGCAGAUAUGGAGGGCUCUUGUAUGGAGCUGGCCCUGGAAGGGGAACGGCUGUGCAAGGCGGGAGACUGCCGCGCUGGAGUCCAAUACUUCGAGGCCGCAGUCCAAAUAGGCACUGACGAUUUGAAGACUCUGACAGCUAUAUACAGUCAACUUGGAAAUGCGUACUUUUAUCUUGGAGAGUAUGGAAAGGCAUUGGAGUAUCACAGACAUGAUUUGAAUUUAGCAAGAACAAUAGGAGACAAACUUGGGGAAGCAAAAGCCAGCGGUAACCUGGGGAAUACGCUAAAAGUUCUGGGUAAAUUUGAAGAGGCAAUCGCCUGCUGUGAAAGACACCUUGAAAUUUCGAGGGAACUGGGAGAGAAGGUAGGAGAAGCUAGAGCCCUAUACAAUCUUGGUAACGUGUAUCAUGCCAAAGGAAAGCAAGUUGGGCGUAACGGUCAACAGGACCCUGGGGAGUUCACACCAGAGGUCAAGGAGGCCCUGCAACAGGCAGCAGAUUAUUAUGAGGAGAAUCUCAAAAUCGUACAAGAGCUUGGGGACAGAGCAGCUGAGGGAAGAGCCUGCGGUAACCUCGGCAAUACCCAUUAUCUGUUGGGUAAUUUCGCUCAGGCUAUUCGCUACCAUGAGGAGCGUCUUGCCAUUGCCAAGGAAUUUGGUGACAAAGCAGCAGAGAGGAGGGCGUACAGCAAUCUUGGGAAUGCUCACAUCUUCCUUGGAGAGUUUGAGGUGGCUGCAGAUCACUACAAAAAAACGCUUCAAAUUGCCAAGCAGCUACAAGACCGUGCACUGGAGGCGCAGGCCUGCUACAGCCUGGGCAAUACCUACACCCUACUCCGUGACUAUGACAAAGCCAUCGAGUAUCAUUUGAGGCACCUGCGGAUUGCCCAGGAGCUCCAGGACCGUAUCGGAGAGGGUCGGGCAUGCUGGAGUCUGGGAAAUGCACACACUGCGCUGGGGAACCAUGAGCAGGCACUCCAGUUUGCCAGCAAACACCUUCUGAUCUCCAAAGAGAUUGGAGAUUCCACAGGUGAAGCCACUGCCAAGAUGAACCUGUCUGAUCUCAGGACUCUACUUGGCAUCAGUCCCAGUGAGAGACUGCCAUCAGAUCUUGACACAUCCAGUAUCAGCACAGACCAGCAGAGCCUGGCCUCCUCCUACACCACAACAGAUUCAGACAGGACAGACGACAGCGGAGGUACCCGCAAUUCAAACCGCCAGAGAAGACACAGCAUGGAAAACAUGGAGCUGAUGAAGCUCACUCCUGACAAGAAAAAUCAUAAAUCCCAUACCAAGCCAAAAUCCCACAGGCUACAGAAGUCUGCCACCGUGGCGACGGAUAUCGAUGUUGAGAAUCGCGACCCACAGAGCAGUGGGGAUACAGUUCACGCCGCCAAAGUGGUCACUUUGAAAACCAUUGGAAAGGGGCAUACAACCGACUUCAGCGGAAAUGACGAGGAUGAUUUCUUUAACCAAAUCAUGAAAUUUCAAAGCCGCCGCAUGGAGGACCAAAGAUGUUCAUUCAAGGUGACAGGUGACCAUCCAGUUCCCAAUAAAAAUAGCCUAGCUCUUUCCGGCAAAGCAGAUGAGUUUCUUGACAUGGUGGCUGGGAUCCAGGGAUCAAGGAUGAAUGACCAACGGGCACAUCUGCCCCAGUUUCCAGGGCUGAAUAAUAGCCAGGCUGUGAUAGGUCAGCUUCUCCACAACAGUCCAGACACCGCUGUACCAGACGACAACUUCUUUGAAAUGCUUAUGAGAUGCCAGGGAACAAGAUUAGAGGACCAGAGAAGUCAUCUACAACCAGUUGAUGUACGUUCGGCACCAACAGUUCCAGAUGAAGAUUUCUUCACACUUAUUCAGCGUAUACAGUCAAAUCGCCUUGACGAACAAAGGUCGGUUUUACCACCAAAGAAACAGUCUGAAACUGACCAAGACACAAAAAAUGUGACUGAGCCAAGCACAGUGAAUGGAAAAAAGAAAAAGAAAUGACAUUUGCAUGAGUUGCAGACUUUAAGAAAAAUGAUACUGAUGAAUCCAGGAUAGUAUGUCAUGCUGCUCGAAACAAUUCCAGCUUCUUAACAAUGUGAGAAAAUCCAUAAAAAGAUACUCACAAUAUGGAAAAUUUAUCUUUUAUUACCUAGUAUGUUACAUUUCAGUGGCAUGAAGUGGCAAAGGUAGUGUUCAAAUGGCAUAUGGUUUUAAUGAAAGAUCAGUUGCUUUUAUAUACGGAUGAACCAAACCAUACUUUUUUUGGAUCAUGCACAGUUCUUAAAACCAGAGAAGAGAGGGGAAAGCAUCAGUUACUUAUUCUUUGAAAAGGAAUUUAAACACCCAUUUAUGUAUAUCACGUUUUUUGCUUUCUGCACCUGGGUUGAAAACCCACAAGACUGAACCAAAAACUCCAAGCGGAUGUAUUAGAGUAAAUGUAUUUGUGGGAGCACUUUACUGCCUCUAGAGAGGUAUUGCUUGCAAUCCGGUUCAGAACCGCACCAAGUAAUCACCAUUACAGAGACAUAGGAGAAUGAAGUAUUCAUAAUUAUCAUCAUUUUCUAAGUCAAAUUAUUCAUGAGCUACACCAAUUUGGUUUGAGAUGCUGAUGGUGUCGCAUUAAAAUGAAAAGGAAAAAAAACAGCAAUAGCUCAAGCCACUUAAAAAUUAUGCCACAAGAUCUUCAAAAUUUAACUUUUAAAAAGACAAUUUUGCUGGUCAUUUAACUGCACAAAGAGCACUCUAAAUUUUCAUCUGAUCAGUAAGAGACUAGUUCUGUCCAAUUUAUGCCAUUCGUGUCAGACAAGAAUUCUAAAGUAUUAAGGAUUUAACACCAGAAAGCAAGGCCAUUCUUGUAAGCAGUUUCAGAACCACACCAAAGGUUAAGCGAUUCCAAUACAACAAGGUGACAAGGAUUUUAGAAAUGGGAUUACUUCACCAAAACAUUAAAUAAUUGGAAAUGGAAAAAUUUGAAGAAGUAUUCAGUCAUUUCAUCACAAGGAGAAGCAGUUCAGUCAUAUCUUAUUUUAAGAGCACUCAGCAAUGAUCAGAUUUGCCAUCAUAUGUCCAGAGGAUGCUCGCUAAUUCAACAAUGUAUUCGCCUGGCUAAAAGUUCAAAAUGGAAAGCAUAUUAAGUCACUGUGUCUGGAUUUAGAUGACACAGUCUGCUUAACCACCAUAGUUAAUCUUGUCUGCAUUGGAAAGUUGUUCAUUUGGAGCAGAUAAUUCUGUUUGACAUAUUUAUGGAGUGGAGCUCACUUUUCAGUUCCUGCAUGCUGUGAUUGAACUGGGAUGAAAUGUUUCCAUGACACGAUAAGGUCAACCCUUGGAGCCCACAUCCUAAUGCAAUCUAGUCAGCCAGCUCUGGGUGGAUCAAUAGCAAAACUGCCACAGCCCAUGUCUGGGUUGGGUUAGAUGUGAUGUGCUGUGUAUUGGCCACUUAAGUUCAGUUCACAGUGCAUGCUUCUUUAAGAAGAAGCCCAGAAACUAGUUCCUGGAUCCAUGCUGCAAAAGUUUCAUGUCACCUGGGUUGGUAAGGUAACCCGAUGGGCCAAGCCAUCAGUUCAAGUUGAGUUCCAUCAGUCUAUCAACUGAUUGGGCAGCUUUAUUUGGACCAAGAAGGUUAAUUGGAAUCAACCCAAUUGAUCUGAAAUAUUGUUAGUUGUCACAUAGUAAACUCCUCAUAAUUCACCACCUUAUACUUACCAUUAUUGUUUGUGUCAAACAAAUUUUGUGGCAUGGAUUUUUUUUCUUUGGUGUGAGCUAAAACUGAUGAAUUAUUGUAUGCCCAUCUUGAACCCUUCUUUAAUUCAAAACAUUUUCUGUUUCUCAAGUGUUCAGGGUAAAGUCUGCUCUAAUUCUGAACUGUUUUAGAAGCAGCAUGAGCAUUUUGGUAUAUGUGAACCAAGUUGAUUAACCCUGUGGUUUAUGUAGGAUUAGCAUUUUGAGUUUUUAUCUUUUACCUUUUAAGGUGAUAAUGAUGUACACAUUGUAAUUAUUAUCCUACAGUGAAAAGUACUUUUUGCGCAAGCAGUAAAAUCUUUACUGAAGAUGGACACAACAAGCUGACAAACCUUGUCAUUUAUAAUUAUUUUUCACUUUUGUUUGGUAUAUUCUGGCGCACACUUUACGUUAUAUAUCAGUAAUAUAUUUGCUGAAAAUUUGUUCACAGAUGUGUACAGUGUUAUAUUUGUAUAGAUUUAAAGCAGUUACUGCAUAAUUAUCAUAAUUACCACAUACACAAGCACACACAUACUUUUAAUUAUUGCCUACUGCACAUUACCUACAAUGUGAAGAUCUGCUUUAUCUGUAUUAAAAGUAACAUAAACACAUUGGCACCAGUUUUAACGUAAGCACAAUGGACUGCAUUCUAAAAUCUUUAGGGGGAAAUUGAAGGAAUGUUUUGGAAUUGUUGGCCCAAGAAGUUUGCAUUUAAACUCAUAAACAAGCUAGCUUGAAUUGACUGGAGAACUGUUUUGGAUGUGGCUUACUUUGAUGACUAAGGAAAAAAGUUGAAAUUACCAGAAAUUUUGAAUUUCUAAAUAAAGGUCUAUUGUUCUGUGUGUGCCUUUAAAGGGGGUAUUACAUAGUGAAAGGAUUGCAUUUCUGAGGUUUAUUUAUUUUAAUUGCUAAAAAUAUUUUAAAUUGUUUUGUUUUAUAGCAUCUGGUAUUGUAUGAUAUUAAUGCUGAAGUCAUGUUUAUUUUAAAUCCAAUGUUUUCAGCAGUCCCUAUUUCAAUAAUUUCACAUGGGGUAUGAAGUGAUGGCUUGUCCCCUUCCCCCCUCCCGCCCCUUUUUUUCAUUAAAUAUAUGAUUGGAAUUUUCAAACUUUUGGAGGUUUUCCACCUUUGGGUGUUCAAAAAAAAAUGCAAAAAAUUGUGGAUUUCACAUGCAAUGAUGAACACAAAAAGUUAUUUUGGUUUUGCCAGUUUGUCCCUCUGUUCCCUAACUCAAAGCACUGUUGCCUUUAUGCGCACAGAGCUGUUCUUAACUGUACAAUACAUUAUUUAAUUUUGUUUAAUGACAACAUUUGCCACAAAAUUUGCUCACACCUAAAUUAAGAUGUAUUAGAUAAUUUUAUAUGUUAGCACACUGCAGCUCUAUAUAUAGAGGUUAAAAUUAAUGAAGCAAACCAGACUCUUUUAUGGGGGGGGGGGGGGUUGAGCCUCUCCAUUGUGAUUCGCUUAAUCAGUAUAAUAAAUCUGUAAAUUUGAAAUAAACCCAGUGAAUAGUCUCCAUUCUAAUUAAGACAAAAAUGACCGUGUUUGUUUCUUUGUGAUCAUUGUUAAAUUAUUUUGCCCCUCACUUCAGGGCGAGGCCAGAUUUUUCCAUUCCUUAAUUGGUUUAUAUUUCAACAAGGAUGACGUAUGGAUCCUAGCUGGAAAAAAAAACGCCAUGAAAUAAACCGAAUAAUUUAUUAUAAUCAGUGAUCUAAAGGAUCAAAACGCUUUGAUUAGAUUUAGGUGAAGAGGCCGUUUUUAAUCGUUGAUAUUUUAUCUUCGCCAUGUCUUUGUACGGUCAUGCAGUUUUAAGCAUUUAUAUAAUUAUCAUUUCUGAGUAUUUUAUUUAUUUAUUUAUUUUUAGUUUUCAUGUUAUUCAUUUAAUUAUUACGCUGUUUUAAGUGGUUCGGCUGAGUUAUGAUGCUCGGCCAAAGAAACAGUUAUUUUGUAAGUGUGAAGACGAGUUUCUCCUGGGAAAUGGUGAAGACAGACUAAAGAUUUCCAUGCCACGUGUUAAGGUGAUUUCGUGUGUACAUUGCGCAGUUCUGUCACCUAUGGCAUUGAGUAUAUAAUGACAUACAUAUAUUUUCCUUGAUUGUUAACAUAUCUGAGUCUUGAAAGAGCAUUGCGAAUUUUCAUCAGCUUACAGAGUUUUAUGAACUUGCUCCAUGAGCUGUCUGGAACAAUCAUUUUGCUUUUAUUUCAUAUAUAUUUUAACUUUUCUGAAAGAAUGUGACGGAGUAUUUGCUAAUGUUUUUGCUUGGACAUAUCCUAUGGUCUUGUAAGUGAAAUAUGUUUAUUAGAAAUUGUACAGAUGAAAUUUCUGGAAAAAUGUAUACAUAGGAUCUUAACUAAUAUAAGAAUAAAGAACAAAACUGU
rnacentral:misc_RNA from 1 species